AUUGAACGCUGGCGGCAGGCCUAACACAUGCAAGUCGAGCGAGCGGCGGACGGGUGAGUAAUGUAUGGGGACUGCCCGAUAGAGGGGGAUAACUACUGGAAACGGUAGCUAAUACCGCAUACUAUCGGAUAACCCAUAUGGGAUUAGCUAGUAGGUGAGGUAAUGGCUCACCUAGGCGACGAUCCCUAGCUGGUCUGAGAGGAUGAUCAGCAACACUUGGACUGUGACACGGCCCAGACUCCUAGCGAGGCAGCAGUGGGGAAGAUUGCACAAUGGGCGCAAGCCUGAUGCAGCCAGGCCGCGUGUAUGAAGAAGGCCCUAGGGUUGGAAAGUACUUUCAGUCGGGAGGCGUUACCGACAGAAGAAGCACCGGCUAACUCCGUGCCAGCCGCCGCGGUAAUAU
rnacentral:rRNA from 1 species